AACUGAUGGUGCCACUGCACUCCAGCCUGGGCGAGAGAGUGAGACCCUGUCUCAGAAAAAGAGAGAGAAGAGAGACAGAGAAAAGAAAGAGACAAAGCAAAGCAAAGAAGGAAGAAAAAACAGCGGCUUUCUUUCCCUGUGAUGGUUUCCUCUUUGAACUGGAGUCUAGGGAGGAGAGGUGAUCAGUUACACGUGAUGGAAUAGCUGGGCUAUGGAAAGGAGAUGAGGCAACUCAGUUUAGAAGCAGCAGGAAGAGAUCCUCGCUCCUAAGGAAGAAGGACAAAGAAAGGGUGCUGCUCCCUCAACCCAGAAGCUUUGUCUGGAAAUGCCACAUCUCUCUCAGUGAAGAGUAGCAACUUUGUGGAGUUUGCAGGCUGUGCCAUUGACUCUUUGGCAUGAUGGUGUAUUGAAGACAAGGUGGGAGAGCAAGACAGGGAAUGAGUGGAGACAGGCAAGGAGGAAAGGUGGCAGGAAAAGACUCAGGAGGAAGAGGAUGACCAUCGAUCGCUGUGAGCUCUCCCAGAGCCUGCCUGCCUUUCAAACUUUGUUCAAUCACUUAUUACCUGGGUGGCAUUGACAAGUUCCUCCUCUCUCCCUCCUAAGAUGUUAAGAGUACCUACCACAGUGGGGUUAUUUUGAGGAUUCAGUGACUUCCCCCACAGGAAAACACUUCACGUUGUGUGGGAACAUAGUCCACUCUCAAUCCAUCUUGGUUACCAUCAUUAUUGUUUAUUAUUGAUCUUUACAUCCUCAGUGUUGGCAGAAUUUCUUGUGCUUAACAAAUAUUUUUUCAGAUCAGAGAAGUGGAAAAAAUUGUCCUCUGCUUAUUCAAGCCAUGUUUUUCUGUGAUAUUCUGAUCCUCGUUGCACAUACAGAAAUACAUGUCUAAAACAGCACCUCGAUUCUGGUCUACAGCAGGACGAAGUUCACUGUGAUCUCAGAUAAGCUUGGCUAAAAUAGGACGUGAGUGGAGAUAGUCACACUUCAGCGAAGAAAGAGAAUCCCCUGUGUAAUGUCACCAGGAGAUUCAACCUCAAUAUUCUGCAUGGAAGGGGUAGUCCCCCAAAUGAGAGGAUCUGCAGAAACAAAAAAAGAGAGAAACUCUGUUCCAUCACAGCAAAAACUCUCGUUGAGAAGGCAUUCUUCUCUGAUGGACUCUAUCAUAUCUGCGCUCUCUCAGCCUCCUCCCUGCAAGAACACAAGAAGGGUGCUCACACCUUGAUCUUCCCUCAAACUGAUACGAGGGCUUUGCUAGGAAGGAGGACAGACAGUGACCAGGGCACGGGAAACAACUCGGAAUGACAACUCAUGGUUAGCCUGGUGUCAGGUGAGGCAACUGACAAGUCUUGUCCCAAUCCACUGUCACAACAUGCUGAGGUAGGAAACAACAGCAGAAUUGACAGCUUGGGGAUUGUUAUGAGUAGUAAAUGAGAUAAUAGCACUGGCAAAGGGCUCAGGACCCUGGCACAUUCUCAGCGAAGGUUCAAUGGAUGUUAGCUGCUACUCAUAUUAUCAUCCUACUUUAUAGGUAAAGAAACCAACUAAGAAAAGCUAGGAAAUUUACCCAACGUCACACAGCUAAGAAACCAGGGUUAGUGUUGGAUCUGAGGCCAGGUGCACUUACUCCUGAGCCACCAACCCAUUGCCUCCACUGGAUAUGUUCAUUGGAAGGUCAGCCGUUCAGUUUGGGGGAGAGUCCCAUUUUAUGUUCACCCUGCCUUUUUACACUAAGCAGCUGCUACUUUGUUAAACACUGAUAAAAAUAAGCCAUUAUAAGAUGAGGAAAGGCUUCUGUGAUACUAAAGGUGGGCAGGAUAGAUAUGGAAUAUCAUGACAAGCAAGCUGUGCUUGAGAUACUGAAACCAUUUUUAAAAGCUGAAAAAUCAUUUUGGCUAUAGAAACAUUGGAAGAAAUUCAAAUUGGCAUUGAAUUACAGACCUCGAAGUAAUAAAUGCCAGACAACUCUCUUUGAUAUAUUUAAUUAGAUACAUUAAUCAGAAAGUAUUGAUUGUAAAGAGAUGGUUUAGGAUUCCCACCUAGCCAGAGUGAAAACUUUCUUUCAACCAUUUAUCUGACAUUUAAAUUAGAGUUACCACCACCUCCUUUAAGAGGCAUUUGGAGAUUAUUUAAUCCAGCCUCCCCGGCCUUCUUGCUUGAAUGCUCUAAACACAAUCCCACCUCAGGGCCUUGGCACCUGCUGUUAUCAAUGCCAAGAAUGCUCUUCCCCCAAAUAUGCAUAUGGCAUAUCCCUCACAGCAAAGCCUCCCUUGAACCACCCUGUAUAAAGGAUCUGUCCCACUACCACCCACCACUUCCUAUCCACUUUGCCCUACUUUAUUUUUCUGUCUAGCAUUUGUUACUGUCUGUCACAUGUAUUUUGAUUUGAUUUAUUUCUGUUCUGUCUUCUUCCCUCCCUCCAUAAGCACGUGGAGGCAGCAGCUUUGCAUAGUAUGAUAACCCAAGCACCUAGAAGAUGCCUGGCACAUAGAGGACCACUAGAUAUUUAUUGAAUGUAGGAAUAAAUGAAUGCUCACCUUCUGCCUAUUGACAACACACCUUCUGUUACAAUUCUAGCUCUACAUCCAGAAGUUCAGACAAUGAGCAGCAAUUAGAGAUGUGUCCCUCGCAGUGAUUCCCAGGUACCCCAAUUUUAGUUUCAGAACUGCCCCAAAAUUGUAUUUGAAGACACAAGCAGUCCCAGCAGCCUUCUAAUUCUUCCAACUAACCCUCUACCAGUUUAGAAAAACUCCUGGCAAUGCUCCUAGUUAACUCCAUGCCACUUACUGCAACACGUUACAGGCCCUCCAGUUUCUGUUGAAGCUGAGGAUGGUUGCCAUCUCCUCAUCACUCAAUUUAAAGUCAAAGACCUGGAAAGAUAGGAGUUCCAGGACAUCAUCAGUAAGGCCGUUACUGCUGUGACUGGAGACUGCCGCUCAUUCUAGCAGGGAGUUCUAGCAGCACAAACUGGUCACAGGUGUUUUUCCCAUUAUAUCCACAGGGUAUAAAUUUUUCUCUAAAUUAAGUCCUACACACAGACCGCAGUAUUUGUAUUGCUCAGUGUUCUAGGGGAGGGAGACCAGGUUCACAGGCACUAAGCCCCAGGUGUGCACAGGCCCUGUGCUCCAUGAUGCGCCCUUCUAGAAGACAGUUCUCCAAGGACAGUUCACACCUCCUCUGCUGCCGGUAGAUAAGCAGGGAGGCCAGGACAGUCUGCUUAUGUGGUGGCCCAGGGCUUAGCUGCUCAGGGGCAACUGAGGGUCUUCUCAGUGGUGUGAGGCACAGCUGUGCUCACACUAGACAGGGCUUCAGCAGGCACUGUCCCCAGCAUGUCCUCAGCCCAUGGAUCAUUCAUCUCAGGUAUACUGAGCCUAGCACCCUAGACUGGAAAAUGAUAGGGUAGUGGGAACGGAGGGGGCCAAAGACAGUGCAGGAAUGAGCUAAGAAUCCUGGCGAGAGGGUCUGCCUCUGCCCCACCCCACGGAGAAGUACCAGGGCCAACCAGCCGGGAUCUUACCUGAAUGUUCUCAACAAUGCGUGCCGGUGUCACAGACUUGGGAAUCACAAUCACAUUCCUCUGGAUAUGGAAACGGAUCAGAACCUGUGCGGAAAGGGGACAUCAUGUUUUCACUCAGCUACAAGGACCCCUCCUUUUAUGGAAAGGAAGAAUAAAACAUCCCUGCAGCUCACUGUGGCUUCAGGUACAAUCGCUGAUACUGACUGAGCCCUUUGCAGCUAUUAGACUUGUGCCAGCCCCUCGCUUCAUUCUCUCCCUUCAUCUUAGGGACAACUCUGUGAUCUUCAUUUUUUAGGAAUAAAGAAAGCAGUUUGGAUCAUAAGGCUGAUCAGAGGUGGAGUUGGCAUCUGCACCCAUAUCCCUAGACUUCAAAGCCAUGCUUUACGACUUGGCUGUAGGGCUUAACAGGAAGCUGUGAGGCAGAGGCUAUCUUUGUUUCAGUGACAGCUCUUAUGUUUCCUGGAGGUUCCAACAGACUUCGAAGGAAACACUUUAGAGGGCUUCAGCUCCUGUGUUCUUCCCCUUUAAGGAGUUAGUUGAGGACAACACAAGAAAUGAAACAUGAGACUGGACAAAAGAGUUGUUGGAUAACAAGAAAAAUAAAAAUAUGGCACCUGGGCUGUGGUUUUCUUGUGCUUUGCAGCAAUCUCCUUAAUCUUGGGCUCCUCCAGCAGGGAAGGGUCCUCUGGCUUGGCCCUAGAGGCAGAAAGAUGCUGAUGUGAACAAUCACCAUGGCUACCAUGUACAGACGGACACCACUCCAAUGAGGGUCUCAAGACUGAUCAUCAGAGCCUCUCCAUCUGGGAGACAGGCAGGAGGACCUGGAAGCUUGGGUCCUUCCCCUGGGCUCUGAAGCCUCAGUAUGUUGCAAAGCCUGGUUCAUGCUUGGGUGGCUGAACUGGAAAUAUUCCCAGAGGGUCAAACACGUCGCCCAUGUUUUUGUUGUUGCUGUUGUUGUUGCUUUUCAAUUCCCAUUUGUUCCCACUGUCAUCCCAUUUGGUUGUACUAAACGCAUUACUUUACACAUGUUUUUCUUUAGAGUGACUUAUGGUCUCAUACCAAUAUUUACCAAACAUAAAAUAAUGUUUUUAAGAUUAUCAAGAGAAGGAUCCACUGCUUGGAAGCCUCACCAAGGUCUAUCUGGAGAGCCCAAGGGGCUGUAGGCCGUAAUGGUGAUGCCCUUGGAGUGGCAGUACUGGAUCAGUUUCUCCUGUGUGAGGUACGGGUGACACUCAACCUGCAACAGCAAACAAUCCUCAUCAUGGGGAAAGCUCUCUGGCUUUUUGAGUUGUUCAUAGGGAGUUUUACACAGACACCCAAAGACCACCAAGCAAAGGCCAAACAUCUACCCACUGAGAUUCUUGCUAACACAACCAUGAGAUCAGCCUCACAGCUCCCGAAAGUGUCCUGAUCACUGACCCCUGAGAUGAGACUCAGGGUAUAGCAUUGAACGUUCCUCCCAACGUAUAAGAAGUAAUAGGGCAAGACCUUUAUUUACCCUUAUACUAAACAGAAUUUACCUGGUUAGUCACUGGUUUAUAUUUCAGUCCAGGUUUGUUCAAGAGCUUCUCAAUCUGGAAGUGGUUGAAAUUGGAGAUGCCAAGGGCUUUCACCAGCCCCUCAUCCACCAGCUCCUCCAUGGCCUGUCAUAGAAAGGAAGACCUUUUGGGCAGCCCCAGAGGGACUAUAGGGACCCUGGCUUGCCUCAGUCCUCCCUGGGACAGAAAUUGCUAAAGGAUCCACCACAACAGGGUUAGCCGAAGCAUUCACAGGAAAUUUCAGUCCAGGGCCUGGGUGCCCAUCAGUGAUUGGUUCCAGCCCUACUGCCCGUCCCCAGCCCAAGAAAAAGUAGGAGUAACAGGUAAAGAUUUAUAUUCUUGCCACUCUCACCUUACACGUAAAGAAACACACUCAAAAUAUACUUCUGUACACAGGGGAAAUAUGAAAGUUUUGUAAUGCAAAAAAUAAAAAACUAAAUAAAAAAUGAACAUUUGCAAGCUUAUGAGAUGAUUUUAUUUUUAAUGAAUCCAAAUGACAGCGGUUAGCUACUGCUGUGUGCAUUGUACACCCAAACCUAGGCAAGCUGUGUUAGUCAGGAAGAGGCUGCAGCAUGUGGAGAAGCCUCACUUGUGGGUCCUGAGUCACUUUCUCCCACACCAACCGUGCUUGGGUUUGCAGGAAGGUCAUGCAUAUAGAUUAUGCCCUGGCAGGGGCACCUGGGCAAGGGGUUGUGUGGGGCUGAAACCUGACCCACCGUCUGCAUAUCCAGCCAUGCUUCCCGGUACAGAAACUACAGGGACCCCCAAGGAAGGGAAUCUUUGUAUAACUUUUAGCCUAUAUUGGGCAUUUUCCAAACUUGCCCAAAGAUAUCAUAUAUGUUAGCAGCAGCCUCCAAUGCAACAUGUAUUUAUUAGCCAUCUAUUACAUGUUCCAGAAGUUGUCAGGAUGUAAAAGUAUACAAUGUGCUUCCUUCUUCUGGGAUUCUUAUAGUCCAAUUAAAGUGCUAGGGUUCCCUUCUGUGGAACCAUCAACCAUGACCGUGAGGCUGCCUCAGAUAACAUGACCGUGGCAUAGACAGAGUCAGAAAGGAAAGAGAAGGAAGAGAUUCACACAGCCUGCAGCUGUCAGGGCAGACCUUCAGGUAGAGUUUAAACUGCACCUCAGAAAAAAAAAAAAAA